rnacentral:rRNA from 1 species
UGGUUGAUCCUGCCAGUAGUCAUAUGCUUGUCUCAAAGAUAAAGCCAUGCAUGUGUAAGUAUGAACUAAUUCAGACUAUGAAACUGCGAAUGACUCAUUAAAUCAGUUAUAGGUUGUUUGAUGGUACUUGCUACUCGGAUAAUAGUAGUAACUCUAGAGCUAAUACGUGCAACAAAUCCCGACUUCUAGAAGGGAUGCAUUUAUUAGAUAAAAGGCCAACGCAAGCUUUGCCCGUCACUUUGCGGAUUCAGGAUAAUUCGACGGAUCGCACGGCCUUAGUGCCGGCGACGCAUCAUUCAAAUUUCUGCCCUAUCAACUUUGGAAGGUAGGAUAGUAGCCUACCAUGGUGGUGACGGGUGACGGAGAAUUAGGGUUCCAUUCCGGAGAGGGAGCCUGAGAAACGGCUACCACAUCCAAGGAAGGCAGCAAGCGCGCAAAUUACCCAAUCCUGACACGGGAGGUAGUGACCAUAAAUAACAAUACCGGGCUCAAUGAGUCUGGUAAUUUGAAUGAGUCCAAUCUAAAUCCCAUAACGAGGAUCCAUUGGAGGGCAAGUCUGGUGCCAGCAGCCGUGGUAAUUCCAGCUCCAAUAGCGUAUAUUUAAGUCGUUGCAGUUAAAAAGCUCGUAGUUGGACCUUGGGUUGGGACAUCCGGAGUGCUCAAAGCAAGCCUACGCUCUGUAUACAUUAACAUGGGAUAACAUCAUAGGAUUUCGAUCCUAUUGUGUUGGCCUUCGGGAUCGGAGUAAUGAUUAACAGGGACAGCCGGGGGCAUUCGUAUUUCAUAGUUAGAGGUGAAAUUCUUGGAUUCAUGAAAACGAACAACUGCGAAAGCAUUUACAAGGAUGUUUUCAUUAUUCAAUAACGAAAGUUGGGGGCUCGAAGACGAUUAGAUACCGUCAGAUACCGUCCUAGUCUCAACCAUAAACGAUGACGACCAGGGAUUAGUGGAUGUUGCUUUAAGGACUCCACUGGCACCUUAUGAGAAAUCAAAGUUUUUGGGUUCCGGGGGGAGUAUGGUCGCAAGGCUGAAACUUAAAGGAAUUGAUGGAAGGGCACCACCAGGAGUGGAGCCUGCGGCUUAAUUAGACUCAACAUGGGGAAACUUACCAGGUCCAGACAUAGUAAGGAUUGACAGACAAAGAACUCUUUCUUGAUUCUGUGCGUGGUGGUGCAUGGCCGUUCUUAGUUGGUGGAGCGAAUUGUCUUGUUAAUUCCGUUAACGAUCGAGACCUCAGCCUGCUAACUAGGUAUGUGGAGGUGCCCCUCCACGGCCAGCUUCUUAGAGGGAAUAUGGCGAUUUAAGGUCACGGAAGUUUGAGGCAAUAACUGGUCUGUGAUGCCCUUCGAUGUUCUGGGCCGCACACGCACUACACUGAUGUAUCAACGAGUCUAUAGCCUUGGCCGACAGGCCCGGGUAAUCUUUGAAAUUUCAUCGUGAUGGGGAUAGAUCAUUGCAAUUAUUGAGUGGAGAAAGAAACAAUUUGUCCCCGCGCCCGUCCGCGGACGUUGGAGGGACGAAGGUCUGUUGCGUAAAACCAUAAGUAUUGAAGAACGUAUUGAAAUGCAAUACUUGGUGUGAAUUGAAGAAUCCCGUGAACCAUCGAGUCUUUGAAC